rnacentral:rRNA from 1 species
ACAUGCAAGUCGAACGAACUCUGGUAUUGAUUGGUGCUUGCAUCAUGAUUUACAUUUGAGUGAGUGGCGAACUGGUGAGUAACACGUGGGAAACCUGCCCAGAAGCGGGGGAUAACACCUGGAAACAGAUGCUAAUACCGCAUAACAACUUGGACCGCAUGGUCCGAGCUUGAAAGAUGGCUUCGGCUAUCACUUUUGGAUGGUCCCGCGGCGUAUUAGCUAGAUGGUGGGGUAACGGCUCACCAUGGCAAUGAUACGUAGCCGACCUGAGAGGGUAAUCGGCCACAUUGGGACUGAGACACGGCCCAAACUCCUACGGGAGGCAGCAGUAGGGAAUCUUCCACAAUGGACGAAAGUCUGAUGGAGCAACGCCGCGUGAGUGAAGAAGGGUUUCGGCUCGUAAAACUCUGUUGUUAAAGAAGAACAUAUCUGAGAGUAACUGUUCAGGUAUUGACGGUAUUUAACCAGAAAGCCACGGCUAACUACGUGCCAGCAGCCGCGGUAAUACGUAGGUGGCAAGCGUUGUCCGGAUUUAUUGGGCGUAAAGCGAGCGCAGGCGGUUUUUUAAGUCUGAUGUGAAAGCCUUCGGCUCAACCGAAGAAGUGCAUCGGAAACUGGGAAACUUGAGUGCAGAAGAGGACAGUGGAACUCCAUGUGUAGCGGUGAAAUGCGUAGAUAUAUGGAAGAACACCAGUGGCGAAGGCGGCUGUCUGGUCUGUAACUGACGCUGAGGCUCGAAAGUAUGGGUAGCAAACAGGAUUAGAUACCCUGGUAGUCCAUACCGUAAACGAUGAAUGCUAAGUGUUGGAGGGUUUCCGCCCUUCAGUGCUGCAGCUAACGCAUUAAGCAUUCCGCCUGGGGAGUACGGCCGCAAGGCUGAAACUCAAAGGAAUUGACGGGGGCCCGCACAAGCGGUGGAGCAUGUGGUUUAAUUCGAAGCUACGCGAAGAACCUUACCAGGUCUUGACAUACUAUGCAAAUCUAAGAGAUUAGACGUUCCCUUCGGGGACAUGGAUACAGGUGGUGCAUGGUUGUCGUCAGCUCGUGUCGUGAGAUGUUGGGUUAAGUCCCGCAACGAGCGCAACCCUUAUUAUCAGUUGCCAGCAUUAAGUUGGGCACUCUGGUGAGACUGCCGGUGACAAACCGGAGGAAGGUGGGGAUGACGUCAAAUCAUCAUGCCCCUUAUGACCUGGGCUACACACGUGCUACAAUGGAUGGUACAACGAGUUGCGAACUCGCGAGAGUAAGCUAAUCUCUUAAAGCCAUUCUCAGUUCGGAUUGUAGGCUGCAACUCGCCUACAUGAAGUCGGAAUCGCUAGUAAUCGCGGAUCAGCAUGCCGCGGUGAAUACGUUCCCGGGCCUUGUACACACCGCCCGUCACACCAUGAGAGUUUGUAACACCCAAAGUCGGUGGGGUAACCUUUUAGAACCA